rnacentral:rRNA from 1 species
GACGAACGUUGGCGGCGUGCUUAAUACAUGCAAGUCAACUGAAGCAGUGGUAGCAAUAUCGCUGUGGAGGUGGCGCACGGGUGAGUAACACGUAGGUAAUCUGCCUUCAGGUCUGGCAUAACUCCGGGAAACCGGGGCUAAUAGCAGAUGAUGCAGCGGCUCGACAUCGAGACAGUUGUUAAAGCUAUGGCGCCUGAAGAUGAGCCUGCGUCUGAUUAGCUAGUUGGCGGGGUAACGGCCCACCAAGGCAACGAUCAGUAGCUGGUCUGAGAGGAUGAUCAGCCACACUGGAACUGAGACACGGUCCAGACUCCUACGGGAGGCAGCAGUAAGGAAUAUUGCUCAAUGGGAGAAAUCCUGAAGCAGCAACGCCGCGAGAGGGACGAAGGGCUUUUGCUUGUAAACCUCUGUAGUGAGAGAAAAAAAUCCCAAUCUUUGGGACAUGAUGGUAUCUCAAAAGUAAGCCCCGGCUAACUACGUG